AUGCAGACACUCACCCCAAACCAGCACGCGCGUCUACACAGACACGGACCCCAAACCAGCUUCCUGCGCGCAGCAGUAGGCACCAAGCCUGUGGCGUGUGCUGGGAGAGACCCGCCGACCGUAGCCAGGGUCACCGGGUCAUGCUCAUUUUGUCUUCUUUUUCUUCCAGUUGUGGCGUUCCUGGUGGCUUUCCAUCAGAACAAGCAGCUGAUCGGAGACAGGGGCCUGCUCCCCUGCAGCGCGUACCUGAGGAGCGUCCAGCAGUACUUCCGGGGCAGGGUGGGCUGGGACGCCCUCAGCUAUGCGCCCACCGUCCUCUGGCUGAUGGACUGGUCAGACAUGAACUCCAACCUGGACUUGCUCGCUCUCCUGGGACUGGGCGUCUCGGCCUUCGUGCUGAUCACGGGCUGUGCCAACAUGCUUCUCAUGGUGGCCCUCUGGGGCCUCUACAUGUCCCUGGUCAAUGUGGGCCAGAUCUGGUGAGUAGGAGGAGCGGGCGGUUGGGGAUCAGGGCUUCUGUCACUCAUCUUACUAAGGCCGAG